UAUUUCAUUAAGCAUUACUGAAGAACCCUAACUAGGGUUUCUUCAGCGGCUUGUCCAUGGCGCGCGUCUACGUCGGCAAUCUGGAUCCGCGAUCGACGGAGCGGGAGCUCGAGGACGAGUUCCGGAGCUUCGGCGUGCUGCGAAGUGUGUGGGUAGCCCGGAAGCCUCCGGGCUUCGCGUUCAUAGAGUUCGACGAUUACCGCGAUGCCCAGGACGCGAUUCAAAACAUGAAUGGGAAGAAUGGAUGGCGAGUAGAACUAUCGCGGAGCUCAAACGGUGGUCGCGGUGGUGGAAGGGAUCCGGGAGCUCGCGAAGGCCGCGGCGGCGGCGGCGACGAGCUAAAGUGCUACGAGUGUGGCGAGGCUGGGCAUUUUGCGCGGGAGUGCGUUCUUCGCGUUGGCGCUGCUGGAAUGGGAAAAGGAGGGGGCCGACGGAGGAGCCGGAGUCCGCCACCACGAUAUCGUCGUAGUCCCAGCUAUGGACGAGGUCGCAGUCCUCCGAGGCGUAGUAUAUCACCAACAGCUCGUCGUCGUUACAGUUACAGUCGAUCGCCACCACCUCCCGCUCGUCGCUACAACAGCUUAAGCCGGUCUCCACCUCCCAGGAGAGAGAGGGGACCUCCAGCGCUCAAUGGGAGUCCAGCUCCCAGGUACAGGCGUAGCCGGAGCCGCAGCCGCAGUCCUUACAACUGAGAACUUUUGCGAAAAACAACGGGACGAGGGGAGGCUGCUGCUGUGGGUUAAGUUAUCUCUUCCUUGUGGAUUUCAUGUAUGACGAGUUCUGCACGUCUGCUUCCUCGUUAUUCAUCUCCAAUUGUACUGCCUCCUCGUCAUGAUCUGCAAACUUCUGAAAGUUAUCUGCAAAUUCAUCUCGCCUCUGCCUCGCCCGCCAUAGUCUUUCUGCUCCAAACUAUCUGCUUGCUUUUGGGACGUCUACAGAUAACUAUCUAUGUUUCCUGAGCUUCAUCUUCAUCAUCACCAGACACUUGUGUAGCUCAUCACUCCAGCUUCCAAAGGCGCGUUUUCUGGUUUUGUAACAGGUGUAACAGCCUCUCCCGUGCCUGCUGCUGCUACCACUGCUGCUGCCACUCCACAGGUCAUGCUUAUUACUACUGCUUUCCAACAGGCUAAUGAAUUCUUGUGUCGAUUCUAGGAAAAGAGACGACCUCUCGCCGACGAGAACAGCAGAAGCAAACGACGCCUGAGAAGUUGGCGUCUGUCCGCUUGCUCCGUGAAAUCAAUGACGCGAAAAACACUUGGCACUUUUAGCAGGCAAGCGUUGAAGUCUGCGCGAGCAAAAAUAAAACGGGGCAUGUGCCACUUCUGCCAGGAGCUUUAUGGAACGCACACAGCCAGCCAUGAAAGAAAAAUAUCAAAGAAAACGCCAAAGGCAAAGCUCGAGAGAUACACACCUUGGAUGUCCGCAGACUUAUCGAAAAUCCAAAGCUCGAGCGAUAAAAUUCUUUA